rnacentral:rRNA from 1 species
UACGUAGGGAGCAAGCGUUGUCCGGAAUCAUUGGGCGUAAAGCGCGCGUAGGUGGCUUCGUAAGUCCGUUGUGAAAGUCAAAGGCUCAACCUUUGAAAGCCGAUGGAUACUGCGGAGCUAGAGUACGGAAGAGGCGAGUGGAAUUCCUGGUGUAGUGGUGGAAUGCGCAGAUAUCGGGAGGAACACCGGUGGCGAAGGCGGUUCUCUGGGCCUUACCUGACGCUGAGGAGCGAAAGCGUGGGGAGCGAACAGG